rnacentral:rRNA from 1 species
CAGCCGCCGCGGGAAUACGUAGGUGGCAAGCGUUGUCCGGAAUUAUUGGGCGUAAAGCGCGCGCAGGUGGUUUAAUAAGUCUGAUGUGAAAGCCCACGGCUCAACCGUGGAGGGUCAUUGGAAACUGUUAAACUUGAGUGCAGGAGAGAAAAGUGGAAUUCCUAGUGUAGCGGUGAAAUGCGUAGAGAUUAGGAGGAACACCAGUGGCGAAGGCGGCUUUUUGGCCUGUAACUGACACUGAGGCGCGAAAGCGUGGGGAGCGAACAGGAUUAGAUACCCCCGUAGUCCCUGUCUCUUAUAC